GUUUCUGUAGUGUAGUGGUUAUCACGUUUGCCUAACACGCGAAAGGUCCCCUGUUCGAAAGGUCCCCUGUUCGAAACUGGGUGGAAACA
rnacentral:tRNA from 1 species